AAAGUGCCCUCAUUCAACAUAAUGGGCAUUGUUCUUGUGACAGCCAUUUCGGAGAGCAAUAGGGUUUCACAGGAUGCCGCCAAUCCUGAAAAUAUAUAUAAUUUAGAUGGUGUGAUAUGUUUCGCUCCCAUACAUUACAUUCUAUUAUAGACAGCUGUGUGAAGCAUGACAUGAAUAUAUUGUACCGACCGACGUUCGGUUUGGAUACAACAAAAUUGAUAAGGUCAACAUAACAUCGGGGGUGGCGGGCGAGGAAAAUGGGUUGAAAUUUAUGAUUGUAUACAAUAUGUUGAGUAUGGUAUGGGCUCAGCACAGGUGAAUUGGUUUCAAUCGUAUUACAUGUGAAAAGCAUGGAAAAUGAUUUCACUUUUGCGUUGAAGUAAUUUGAUUAAACCAUUUAGGUUGAAUGAUAUAAAACCGCUUAUGGGUGCAGGAAA